AGCCAUGUGGGAUCCAGCCACCCUAACCACCACGCCACAGGCUGGCCCUCAUACUCAAACUCUAAUUCAGCUCCAUAUGCUUGAGAGUUUCCUCCCUUUUAUUUUUGCAAGUCCCUUCUCACAGAGUAAGAAAGCUGGAUCCCAGUCAUCAGUUGCCAUGACGUCUCCCCUCACCCUGUGUGGAGUCUGCAAUCCAGGUCAGAUACCUUGCAUGGUCCCACCUAAUGGCUUCAGUUUAAGUUGUUCAGCCAGAGGCAGGGGUAGGUCAGGUUAAAUGUUCUGUAUGUUUAUUUUCUUUUGAAUUUCUCUAAGGGUGAGAAUUAAAUAUCCUCAGAGGUUGUGUGUGAGUCCAGUAGGGGGACAGAUUAAUAUAAUGUGUUCAUUAGGUUUGAUACAAACCCUGUUCUGCAUGGAUUAAGAAAUCACCAUUUUCAGAAUUGUAGGAGAAUGACUCUUCCCUCCUCCUGGUCCCUGAAGGCUGGAGUUAGAAUUUUCUUUUAUUGGCUCAGGAAGUCUGACUGUUUGUGACCUCUUGAUCCUGAAGAAUAAACCAUGCUGAUGUGCAAUACUAUGUUUUUCCUUAAGAAAGAAAUUUUCUUGGAAGCACACAAAACUUGUUUUAAGAGUCUUAAUUCAGUGGGUGGCUAGACCCUGGAUUUCUGAGGGUUGAUCCCGGGAUGGGGAGGGAGAAGGAGGCAGUGAGGAAAAACACAGAAGAUGUGCCAAAGAAGAUAAGUCGAGAAGAGUUGGGAGGCUGGUGGUGUGUAAGACUGAAAUAAAUGGAAGCCAGAGUGGUCGUCACACUGCUCCGAAAACAUCUUUCCUUCUCUUCAAUGACCUGCAGCUGUUUUUUCCUGAUGCUGACCUUAAAGAUGGUGGUCAGAGGCAAAGUGCCCAAAGAUCUGAAAAUACUCCACCAAUUAGUGGUUUGUUUUUCCUGGGAAAAAAAUGUGAUAGUCUUAUAUUUUCCCAAUUCCAGUAAAACUCUUCUAUUUUCCCCCUUUAUAACUUCUUUCAUUUUGCUCAUCUUUAAAGAGAAAAAUAUUCUUUCUUGAUUGCGCUAACUAAAACCUCAUUCUCCCCUUCUAUUUAAAGCAAAUCUCAAUGCUAACUCCAGGGUCCAUCCUCUGUUCUCUCUUGAACACUCCCCAGUCAAACUUGGGUCCACAUUUGCUAUGAACAUGCUGUGGCCAGGAGCCAUGAGUUCCGCGUAACUCGGCAGCUCCUCUGCCGUCAGUCCCCACUUUACGCUAGGUCGUUUCCGCCAUGUUGGUACUUGUUCUUCACUUGGUUUUCAGGCACCAUCCUCUUUUUUCCCUCCUUCUGCCUCAUUUCUUCUUCCCAGUCUCCUAUGCUCCUCCUGCUCCUCUCUGGACCAUUUCUGGUGGACUGUCCCAGAGCCCGGGCUAUCCCUCCAUUCCCUUUUCAGCUAUACUCACUGUCUCCUGAUCUCCUCCAGGCCAUGGCUUUAAAUUCCAUCUCCACUUGGGAACUCUCAUGUUCAUGUCUCCAGCCUGGAGUUCUCCCGUGAACCACACACUUGUGUAUUUCACUAUAGCUGACCUCUUCAUUUGGAUCUCUAGUAGUCAUCUCAAACUCAACUAAUGCCUUCCUUGCAAAUAAACACUAAAUGCAACCAAGCAAAAUGCACUCCCCCUUCAGCUUUUUGGUUUUGUUUUUGUUCAUGUUGAAUCAGCUAAUAGCAACUCCACUUGCUCAUCCUAAAACCUUGGAGUUAUUCUUCUUUUCUUUUUCUUUCACUUGCCUCAGAUGCUCUAUAGCAAAUUCUGUUGACCCUGAUUUUGGUAAAUACCCAGAAUCCGACCUUAUUGUUCUAGCCCAAAUAGUUGUCAUCUCUCGCCUGGAUUUUUUGCAGUAGCCUCUUGACAGGUGUCCUGACUGUGCCCUUGACCCUUUAGUCUGUCCUCAGCGUAGUGGCCUGAGUGAUAGCAUGGCAUUCCUCUACUCACCUCAGUGCUCCUCAUCGCUCUCAGAGUAGAUGUCCUUUCGAGGGCCUGAAGACCCUCAGAGUCCCCAGCUCCCCAUGCCUAAUCUCUCUGGCUGGUCACCAGCCCACCCACUGCAGCCAAUGGAUUCAGCAUGCUCACCCUGGGCACGUGAUCUCCUCUGCCAAAAAAGCUGUUGCUCCCAAAUUAAACUGUACCUUCUCACAGCUUUCGCCUAUACCUGCCUUACUGUCUUACAUGUGCAGGGCACUUACAGCUCCCUGGCAUCCUGUUUAAUCAUUUUUAAGUCCCAGCUCUCCCCCCUACCUCAGCUCACCUCACGUGAGACACCAUGAGGUCAGGGCUUUUUGUACAGUCAUCACAGAAUCUGCAGCACCUUAGAACACUUAAAAUUCUUUUCAACACGCCAGGUGAGAUCUAAAUAAAUACUUGUCCUGAUCAAAAGGAAUAAUGUUCUGAUAUCAGAAAAGUGGAUUUUCAGUUUGUUUUCUCAUUCCUUAGGACAGAGGCUGACAACUUUUUCAAAUGUGCGAAUGGGAGAAUAAAUAAGGAUGAUUAUGUAUUUCUUAUAGAAGCAUAUCUAAAAUGUAGAUUAUCUCCCAGCAUGGACAUGGGAUCCUUCCUAAGCACCAGCGACUUCUCUGACUCCGUGCCUCAGUGAACUGACUGGGACGUUUAAGAAGAGGAAUGAAUCUGUAUCGGGAUACCUCAGACCCUCCAAAGAAAAAGAGAUCCUCUGAACAAAGGAGAGACUCCUAGGACAGAGAGACCUCAAAAGAAGAAGGCAGGUCCCCCACACCGCGGCCUAGGUGACUCCUCUCCUGCCCAGAGGCUGCUUUUGUGUUGGCAGAAGUUAGAGCUCCUGGGACAGUUCCAGAGCGUCAGUUCUGCCAAUCAGCGAGAGCUGAACGCUUCCCUUGGAGAGGCACCAGAGCAGUGCUCCAUGCUCUCCCAGAGCCUUCGCCGCUCUGGGGCACCUCAGAAGUUGCCAAGGAUGCUGCUGGCAGAUGGGGAGAUGGCAGCAUAUAGCCUUCAUUCCUUGGUCUGUGGUGGCACUGGCAGCUCCAGGAGAAAUGUAACUUAGGAGGAGAGCUGCGGCAUCGCCACAUCCAAGAACAGCCCUGGGAUACAAGGCCUUCCUGGGCUGUGUGAUGAUCUUUGCAGGGACGGUGGUGGAGGGCAAGGCCACCUGCACCAACUCCAGAGCUUCUACAACGUUCAGUUUCCUUAUUGAGACACCGCUGAGCUCCUCCGGGAUCACAGGCCUGUGGUCCAGGGAGUCUUACCACGGUGCUCAUGAAAGGAGAUGUCCAUGCUGAGAAUGGCAGACAUGCCUCUGGGGAAGAAGCUCAGGCUCCUAGAGCCAUUCAGCAUGGUCGAAAUCAAAGGAAGCAAAAACCUACACUGGAAUCUCCAGGGCACAGGGACAGUGGGGAGGCAGUGGUCCCAAAUGUACAGAGGAUGAAAGGAUGGAAGCUUCCGUUUUAGGAGAAGCAGGGUAGAGGAUCAGCCAACAUCUCUGCCAGCCUGCAUCCCUGGAAGCAAAGGAUGCAGGGAACAGAGUCCACCUGACUUAAUGUCCAUUGAAAUGUCCCGUCAGGUGCUGGAUUCUG